AUGCUUGCUUAUCUGAGACUAAUACAAAAAGAGAAGAGCAGUUUUAAACAGAGCAGAAGAAGUACUAGUGCAGGAACGAAUGUAAGGUUCAGAAAAUCCAUCACAGGAGCAAGAAGAAGAACAACAGUUUUACUGGCUUGCAUGAACAAGUGGAGCAAAUUGCUCAAAGGUACAUCCGUCGCGAUCGUACAUGGACGAACUAAUAUAUCAGCCAGUGAGUAUCCUCGUAUACACUUUGGAGAGAACUUCAACAUCGGAUUUAAUAGACACUUGCAGGCGAGAAGAAGUUGCUGUGCCCUCCAGCGUGAAGAUUGGCCGCGGCAUUGCACCUCUUCUCCUUCUCGAGCGCCUCUUCGGCCUUCCACGCUGCUUCAAAUGGAUCGAAGGAGCACGGCCGCGGUUUGGACAAGUGGUCCUGUCCCUGAAGCGAUGGAGCGUCAAGAUCCGACGCGGCAUUGUACCUCUUCUGGGCAUCAUCAUCGAAGGCAGGAUUGUGCAUGGCCCCAUCCUCUGAUCUCCACAUUGGGUAAGGGUCAUCGGACUGCAGCAUGCCCUCCAGCACGCCUUGGUCCAAGGCAUCCAGGUACAGAGGUUCCUGUUGGCCCAUCUCCACGCCAGUGUUGGCUCCAGUGA
rnacentral:rRNA from 1 species